CACAUGGCUUGGUAAAUGAAGAAUGACUGCUUGACAAAGAGGUUUUGCACCUCUCACAUCACUGCUGGCCAGAUUUAGAUUUGCAGAGCCCCUACUUAGCAGAGAAGAGGCAGAUGGCACUAGGACCCCUGGGAAUUGUUCUAAGAGGCCAACAUUUACUUGAGGCACAGUCAGUGCUGACAGCAGGCACAGCACACUGGGAUGAGGCAGGGAUGUCCAAGACUCUGGAGCAGGAUGGGGUGGAGUACUUUUUGCUGUUUUAUAUUUAAUAUUAUUAUCAAAAAAUAGGUGCACAGAGAAGAUACUACCACAGUAGAGUAAAGGUACAGGAAAACUUUAAAUGAAAGCCUUCUAGAAAUGAGAUCCUGCUCAAAACAGCCUGCCCCCCCAUCUGAAAAUCUGAGAAAGAUAAUAGGUCAUUACACAGCAAGGUAGAGGGCAGUAACAAGGACAAAUAACCACUCUUGCUAUGGCAAAUGGCCUUUCAUUGUAAAAGUAUGAAAUAAAGGCAAAGGGAAAAGAAAAACAUGAAACUACUAUAACAGAAUAACUUCUGAAAUUCAGAGGAAGAGUAUGCCUUGGUUAUGAGAGUUGGGUAUAAGGGCCUAUCUAAUAUUAAAACACUGGACAUAUUUGUACCAUUAGAAAACAAUUUAUGGAAAGACUAGCUAAUACAAUUAGCCUUGUAAUGAAGUAAAGUGGGUAACAUUUCAAAGAAACAAAACUAUCCUUCUUUGCAAUAGAAUCAGCACAAAAUAAAUAAAGCAGAAUUAACACUACCUAAUAUAUUAAUAACUACCAUUUUUAAAAAGUAAUAGAUAAAAGAUCUUUUUCUACAUACAAAUACUUAGAAUACUUUUAAAUAAACUUAAGCAUAAAUGCUAAAGGCCCAGAUUUUAAGAAGUAACUUUAGAACCUUGCUCAUGCAUUCAAAAUACUUCCAUACAUGACGGACUUUCAUCACGAAUGGGUCUUCCUUUAAGGGAAGUUCUAACAUUCUAAGAAUAUUCGUUCUCUUCCAGUUAAGCUAUAAAUAUAAGAUACUCCAAAUAAAAGCUAGGAAUUUUAGGUUAUGGGGAUGGGGGUGAAAGUGGGAACUUAAUGUCAUUCAAAAUUCACCUGAAAGCAUAAGUACAGGUGUAUAGACAGAAUACUUUAGAAAGCCAGGAAUAAUGAAUAGGCACUUUCCAGUUAAUAAAAUAUGUUAUAAAAGUACCUUAAUUAAUGGAGGAGGGCCAGGAUAGAGGUAGCAGAUUAAAAGGUACAAAUUACAGUGUAUAAAAUAAAUAAGCUACCUUGAUUUGUCAUACAGCACAGGCAACAGAGCUAACAGUUUAUAAUAACUUUAAAUGGAGCAUAAUCUAUAAAAAUACUGAAUAAUUAUCCUAUGCUUCUGACACUAAUAUAACUAUUAUCAGUCAACUAUACUUCAUUUUCUUAAGUACCUUAAUUAGAUUUUUUUCAAGUGAAAAGGAAGGAAACCAUAUAGGUGACCUUUUUAUGGACAAUAAGUCCAUUACAAAAUUUUAGCAUUGGAGUUCCCAUCGUGGCUCAGUGUUAACAAACCCCACUAGUAUCCAUGAAGGCGCAGGUUUGAUCCCUGGCCUUGCUCACUGGGUUAAGGAUCCGGCAUUGCUGUGAGCUGUGUUGUAGGUCGCCGACACGUCUUAGAUCUGGCGUUGCAGUGGCUGCGGUGUAGGCCGGCAGCUAUAGUGCCAAUUUGACCCCUAACCUGGACGGACAGCUCUAAAAAGACAAAAAAAAAUUAGCAUUAAGCCUUAGCCUACCUUGACUCCAGGUCCCAGAGCACCAAGAACAGAAAGAGCACAGUUUAUGUGGAAGAAGAGCACAGCCUGGGCUUAACUAAUCUACUUUCUCCAGCACUCAACAUUCUCACUUCAGAAAACAGAUGCAUGAUAGCAUCAGUUUUUCCCCAUCUCAGGUCAACUCUCUGUUUCUAGUGGGCUUUGGGCCCCCUCAUUCUCAGCUCAUAGUUCCCUUUUCUUUGGUCAUAUAAGCUAAAGUUCAAGAAACAAUGGCUCCAUUCACAGAGUUAAUUUCACCGGGUGUAGAUACUAAGUCAUGACGAUCGAGGCACUUUUUUCAUAUAACGAAUACCACAAAGUGCCACAAAAUGUGGAAAGUUGUAUUCUUCUACCCAGAACAGUUUAAGCCAAAAUAAAUUCUAGAUAAUCAUAGAUUUAAAUGUCACAGGACAACCUACUAAUUAAAGGUACCAUUGUAACCAUUCUUAAGCUAGCCCCAAAAGUCUAACCACUAAUAAAAAAGAUUGAGAGAUAUGUUUUUCUAGCUCUGUAGACAAAGUGGGAGAACAGAAGUCAGACGACCAAAAAUCAAAGCUCCCUCAUUUCUUCUGGAAAGUGUAAUUUGUAUUAUCACCACAUUUCUUCAUAUGAAGUAUCUUCAUAUUUAAUUUUAUUUUUUAUUUAUAAGGAAAGCCCAGGAGUUCCAGUAGCAUAGUUUUAUACAAGCACAUUGUUACAAAUUCCAUUGCACAUUCCAGAGAAAUGCCUGGAAUCUCAUUAGCUGUGAUUUAACACAAAUUUUCGUGUUUACGCCUAACUGCAAUUGCAUCCUUCCUUGCUGACACCAAGAUCCCCUGGGUGGGCCUCAAAGUCAAUGAAACUGGGUGGCCAACUAUGGCCAAAUAGUGAAGGCCUGGAAAAUAAGACAAAGACAAGUUUGAGUUCCACAUGCUGUGCUCAUUUCCUGCAUAAAUAUUGAAUAUUCUUGGGCUUCAUUUCCCUGGUGUGUAUAAAUAUAAUUUUUCCUUGGUAUUCGAAGAGAACAUUACAAAUGAAUAGGAAAAAUCCUCUUUUUCUUCAAAUUAAGCAAAAAGUUUCUGUGAUACCAUGCCACUCUUUCCUCCGUUCACUGUUACUGCAUAAAGUAGUUCAUUCAGUAGGAAACUCUUGUAUUAAAUCAGAUGCGGAGAUGGAUAAGGUCAUGGUAGAUCAGUGUUCUUUCUCUGAUCCUGAUAAUACCUGGUUGCUAAAGCCAUUCAGAAAGUCCCAGUUUCCUAUUGACUCAACUCAAAUAUACCGUUUCCUUUCCACGCUUUGCGCAUCUCUAUUUUCCCAGGUUCUUUUUUUUUUUUUUUUUUUUUUUAAAGCCUACACCUGUGGCUUAUGGAAAUUCCCAGGCUAGGGGGUCAAAUCAGAGCUGCAGCUGCUGGCCUGCAGCACAGCCACAGCAACACUAGCUCCAAGCCGUAUCUUCCACCUACGCUGCAGCGUGCAGCCACGCCAGAUUUUUAACCCACCGAGAUAAGCCAGGGAUUGAACUCACAUCCUCAUGGACACUAUGUUGGGUUCUUAACUCACUGAGUCACAACGGGAACUCCAGGUUCAACUUCUAAAGCAGCUUUGGUGUGGGAAAGCAUCAAUUUAGUUUAGCAUCUUUACCUUUUUUGCUGCUUGUUUACCUCCCAGACUGUAAGUUCCAUGAGGGAAAAAAAGUAUCACAAUUUGUCUUUCCCAGUUGUAGGGUCACUACUUGGCCCCAUCAGGAUGUGUUUACUGAGUGAAGAAAUAAAUGGACGAGGGGUCAGCAGCCCCAGACUCACGGCUGGCAGGUCAUGGGUUAGGUCCGUGAGCCCACAUCAGAUAACCGAGGGAGUCACAUCCCUGAGGCCUUGUUUGCAAACUUUCCAAAGUUGAACAAAGGGACAGCUUGGAGAAGACGGUAGCUCUCCCUGAUGCCUUGUUCUCCCUGCUUAUUUCUGGAGCAUUCCAAACAAGGAAGGAACAUUUUGGAAGAGUCCAGGAGUAAAGGGAGGGCAUGCAGAGGUUGUGGUCUUAGGACAAAGUAUAGGAACCAUUAAGCAAGAAGAAAGCUCACUUCCUUACUGGAGACUGCUAAAAAUAGCAUAUGCACGCUGAGUUAUAUGGAAUUAUUGGCCUACAGGGACCUGCUGUAUAACCCUGGGAACUCUACCCAAUAUUCUGUGAUAAUCUAUGUGGGGAAAGAUUCUGAAAGAGAAUAGGUGUGUGUCCAUGCAUAACUGAAUCACUUUUUUGUACGGCAGAAAUUGUCACAACUUUGUAAAUCAACUAUAUUUUAAUAAAACUUUAAAAAAUGAAAAAUAAAAAUAGCAUAUGCAUGUGAACCAGUUUUUGCAAAAUGAAACCUCUGUACUUUACACAUGAAAAAAUGCUCAACAUCCCUGAUUAUUAGAGAAAUGCAAAUCAAAACUACCACAAGAUACCACUUCAUAUCAGUCAGAUUGGCCAUCAUUAUUAAGUCCACAAAUAACAAAUGCUGGAGGGGGUAUGGAGAAAAAGGAACCCUCCUGUACUGUUGGUGGGAAUGUAAGCUGGUACAACCAGUACAGAGCACAGUGUGGAGGUACCUUAGAAAACUAUACAUAGAACUACCAUAUGACCCAGCAACCCCACUCUUGGGCAUAUAUCCAGACAAAACUUGUCUUAAAAAAUACACAUGCACCCGCAUGUUCAUUGCAGUGCUAUUCACAAUAGCCAAGACAUAGAAACAACCCAAAUGUCCAUGACAGAUGAUUGGAUUAGGAAGAUGUGGUAUGUAUAUACAAUGGAAUACAAAAUAAUGCCAUUUGCAGCAACAUGGAUGGAACUAGAAACUCAUCCUGAGUCAAGUAAGUCAGAAAGAGAAAGACAAAUACCAUAUGCUAUGACUUAUAUCUGGAAUCUAAUAUACAGCACAAAUGAACCUUUCCACAGAAAACAAAAUCAUAGACUUGGAGAAUAGACCUGUGGUUGCCAAGGGGAAGGAGCAGGGAGAGGGAGUGGGAUGGAUUGGGAGCUUGGGGUUAAUAGAUGCAAACUAUUGCUUUUGGAAUGGAUUAGCAAUGAGAUCCUGCUGUGUAACACUGAGAACGAUGUCUAGUCACUUACGAUGGAGCAUGAUAAUGUGUGAAAAUAGAAUCUGUACAUGUAAGUGUAACUGGGUCACCAUGCUGUACAGCAAAAAAAAAAAAAAAAA
rnacentral:lncRNA from 1 species